rnacentral:misc_RNA from 1 species
AACGCACGAGACCUGCGGACCUGCGGAAGGAUCAUUACCGAGUUUACAACUCCCAAACCCCAAUGUGAACAUUACCUUUACUGUUGCUUCGGCGGGAUCGCCCCGGGCGCGGCCGAGAGGCCCAGCCCCGGAUCCAACGUGCGCCCGCCGGAGGACCCCAGACUCCAUGUUUCUUGCAAGGUAUUUCUGAGCUGCUCCUAGCGAGCAAAACAAAAAAUGAAUCAAAACUUUUAACAAUGG